GUAUAGAGCUUCAGUACGCGUCUGUUCGCAGUACUAAUGCUAAAAAGAAACAAGUCCAACACUAUAUGAUGAAAUAAGCCACUUCAUGCAAAAAAGAAUAAUAAGCCCCAUCAAAGUUGACAGGAAGCUAGUAGCAUAAGUGCACAAUGAUGUUGUUUAAGUCCCAUAUCGGAAGAUUUGAGAGAACAAGAGAAGAAAGCUAUCUAUAAAAUCAACCAAAUGUAUUGCAAAUUAUUUGGAUUUGAGGAUACACAGCAGUGUAGUAAUAAAUGGCGGUGUCUUCAUUUGACCAUUGAUAUUUAGUUAUUUUUAUUUUAGGGUAAUACUCAUUAUGCUAUUGAAUGAAUGUAUAAGAAGGAAUAACAUAGUUAUUUUUUUAGUCUUUGACUAUGUGCUAUGACUAUUUCUUAUAUAUUGAUCACCAAUAUGACUAUGUCUCAUUUUUUUAAAGUUCAAGCUUUUAUCAACCAAUU
rnacentral:lncRNA from 1 species